AUGAACGCUGGCGGCGUGCCUUAUACAUGCAAGUCAUACGGGUGUCGCAAGACACCAGUGGCGAACGGCUGAGUAAUACGUGGGAACUUCCUUGAAGUUCGGGAUAACCCGCCGAAAGGCGGACUAAUACCGGAUGUGACCGCAAGGUCAAAGCAGCAAUGCGCUUCAAGCAAGGCCUGCGCACCAUCAGGUAGUUGGUAGGGUAAUGGCCUACCAAGCCUAUGACGGUUAGAGGGCCCGAGAGGGUGUACCUCCAGACGGGGACUGCGACACGGCCCCGACUCCUACGGGAGGCAGCAGUAGGGAAUUUUGGACAAUGGGCGAAAGCCUGAUCCAGCGACGCCGCGUGCGGGACGAAGGCCUUCGGGUUGUAAACCGCUUUUGUCAGGGAACAAUUUUUGAGCGUACCUGACGAAUAAGAGGUUGCUAACUCUGU
rnacentral:rRNA from 1 species